GAUGAACGCUGGCGGCGUGCCUAAUACAUGCAAGUCGAGCGAACAGACGAGGAGCUUGUUCCUCUGAUGUUAGCGGCGGACGGGUGAGUAACACGUGGAUAACCUACCUAUAAGACUGGGAUAACUUCGGGAAACCGGAGCUAAUACCGGAUAACAUGUUAAACCGCAUGGUUCAACAGUGAAAGACGGUCUUGCUGUCACUUAUAGAUGGAUCCGCGCCGCAUUAGCUAGUUGGUAAGGUAACGGCUUACCAAGGCAACGAUGCGUAGCCGACCUGAGAGGGUGAUCGGUCACCCUGGAGCUGAGACACAGGCCGAACUCCUACGUGAGGCAGCAGUAGGGAAUCUUCCGCAAUGGGCGAAAGCCUGACGGAGCAACGCCGCGGGAGUGAAGAAGGUCUUCGGGUCGUAAAACUCUGUUAUUAGGGAAGAACAAAUGUGUAAGUAACUAUGCACGUCUUGACGGUACCUAAUCAGAAAGCCACGGCUAACUACGUG
rnacentral:rRNA from 1 species